UGAAAUCAUGCUUGAAUCAUCUUUAAUGAUAACUUUCAUGCAUAGGCUAGAAACCAUAACACAUCAACAUGGUUCAAAACACAAAAUCCUAAUCUCUAACUAAAUGGAAGGAACUAACUAGAAGUCACCUCUAACACAUGGAGAUGGUGAAGAUGAUGAGUUAAAAUUAGUGAUGAUGAGCUUCCAUGUGUCUUCUUCUUCUUCCCUUCUUUCU
rnacentral:lncRNA from 1 species